rnacentral:rRNA from 1 species
UACGUAGGGUGCAAGCGUUGUCCGGAAUUAUUGGGCGUAAAGAGCUCGUAGGCGGUCUGUCGCGUCGGCUGUGAAAACUCGGGGCUCAACCGCGGGCCUGCAGCCGAUACGGGCAGGCUAGAGUUCGGUAGGGGAGACUGGAAUUCCUGGUGUAGCGGUGAAAUGCGCAGAUAUCAGGAGGAACACCGAUGGCGAAGGCAGGUCUCUGGGCCGAUACUGACGCUGAGGAGCGAAAGCGUGGGGAGCGAACAGG